rnacentral:tRNA from 13 species
UGCCCCGGGUGAGGAUCGAACUCACGACCUUCAGAUAACUCUUUUGGUUGAUUAUGAGACUGACGCGCUGCCUACUGCGCUACCGAGGC